rnacentral:rRNA from 1 species
AUGAACGCUGGCGGCGUGCCUAAUACAUGCAAGUCGAGCGAACAGACGAGGAGCUUGCUCCUCUGACGUUAGCGGCGGACGGGUGAGUAACACGUGGAUAACCUACCUAUAAGACUGGGAUAACUUCGGGAAACCGGAGCUAAUACCGGAUAAUAUAUUGAACCGCAUGGUUCAAUAGUGAAAGACGGUUUUGCUGUCACUUAUAGAUGGAUCCGCGCCGCAUUAGCUAGUUGGUAAGGUAACGGCUUACCAAGGCAACGAUGCGUAGCCGACCUGAGAGGGUGAUCGGCCACACUGGAACUGAGACACGGUCCAGACUCCUACGGGAGGCAGCAGUAGGGAAUCUUCCGCAAUGGGCGAAAGCCUGACGGAGCAACACCGCGUGAAUGAUGAAGGUCUUCGGAUCGUAAAACUCUGUUAUUAGGGAAGAACAAAUGUGUAAGUAACUAUGCACGUCUUGACGGUACCUAAUCAGAAAGCCACGGCUAACUACGUG